rnacentral:rRNA from 1 species
GAUGAACGCUGGCGGCGUGCCUAAUACAUGCAAGUCGAGCGAACAGACGAGGAGCUUGCUCCUUUGACGUUAGCGGCGGACGGGUGAGUAACACGUGGGUAACCUACCUAUAAGACUGGGAUAACUUCGGGAAACCGGAGCUAAUACCGGAUAAUAUUUUGAACCGCAUGGUUCGAUAGUGAAAGAUGGCUUUGCUAUCACUUAUAGAUGGACCUGCGCUGUAUUAGCUAGUUGGUAAGGUAACGGCUUACCAAGGCAACGAUACGUAGCCGACCUGAGAGGGUGAUCGGCCACACUGGAACUGAGACACGGUCCAGACUCCUACGGGAGGCAGCAGUAGGGAAUCUUCCGCAAUGGGCGAAAGCCUGACGGAGCAACGCCGCGUGAGUGAUGAAGGUCUUCGGAUCGUAAAACUCUGUUAUUAGGGAAGAACAAACGUGUAAGUAACUGUGCACGUCUUGACGGUACCUAAUCAGAAAGCCACGGCUAACUACGUG